rnacentral:rRNA from 1 species
ACGGGGGGGACAAGCGUUGUUCGGAUUUACUGGGCGUAAAGCGCGCGUAGGCGGGUUUUCAAGUCAGGUGUGAAAUCUGGCAGCUCAACUGCGAGAUUGCACUUGAUACUGUUAGUCUUGAGUGCUGGAGGGGAAAGUGGAAUUCCAUGUGUAGCGGUGAAAUGCGUAGAUAUCUGGAGGAACACCGGUGGCGAAGGCGGCUUUCUGGCCAAAUACUGACGCUGAGGCGCGAAAGCUAGGGUAGCAAACAG